GAUGAAGAACGCAGCGAAAUGCGAUAAGUAGUGUGAAUUGCAGAAUUCCGUGAAUCAUCGAGUCUUUGAACGCACAUUGCGCCCCCUGGUAUUCCGGGGGGCAUGCCUGUCCGAGCGUCAUUGCUGCCCUCAAGCACGGCUUGUGUGUUGGGCCCCGUCCUCCGAUCCCGGGGGACGGGCCCGAAAGGCAGCGGCGGCACCGCGUCCGGUCCUCGAGCGUAUGGGGCUUUGUCACCCGCUCUGUAGGCCCGGCCGGCGCUUGCCGAUCAACCCAAAUUUUUAUCCAGGUUGACCUCGGAUCAGGUAGGGAUACCCGCUGAACUUAAGCAUAUCAAUAAGCGGAGGA
rnacentral:misc_RNA from 1 species